rnacentral:rRNA from 1 species
UACGCAGGGUGCGAGCGUUAAUCGGAAUUACUGGGCGUAAAGCGUGCGCAGGCGGUUCGUUAAGUUCGUUGUGAAAGCCCCGGGCUCAACCUGGGAACUGCAAUGGAAACUGGCGGGCUUGAAUGCGGCAGAGGGGGGUGGAAUUCCGCGUGUAGCAGUGAAAUGCGUAGAGAUGCGGAGGAACACCGGUGGCGAAGGCGCCACUCUGGGCCGAAACUGACGCUGAGGAGCGAAAGCGUGGGUAGCAAACGGG